UACGGAGGAUGCAAGCGUUAUCCGGAUUUAUUGGGUUUAAAGGGUUCGCAGGUUGUUUGAUAAGUCAGUGGUGAAAGUCUGUCGCUUAACGGUAGGAUUGCCAUUGAUACUGUUAGACUUGAAUAUGGAUGAGGUAGGCGGAAUGUGUAGUGUAGCGGUGAAAUGCAUAGAUAUUACACAGAACACCGAUUGCGAAGGCAGCUUACUAAUCCAUCAUUGACGCUGAGGCACGAAAGCGUGGGGAGUCAAACAGGAUUA
rnacentral:rRNA from 1 species